rnacentral:misc_RNA from 1 species
GCAACGUUAUCAGCAGAAGCAAUUCCGAAGAAUGGAAACAGAAACAGAGGUGCCAUCGAAGUGAUCGGCAUAGGCACAGCCUCCGUGAGCCACCAAGAGAACAUCCACGCAAGAAUGGCUAACAUGUUCCUGCUAUUCACCGGAGCAUCUAACUUCACCAACAGGCAUAUUAUGGCACACAAAAGAGGCCCUAGCAGGAUAUAGAAAUUGGCUGGUGUGAGAAGGGAAUCCUUCAGAGAUGAAUGGGAGCUUGAUCGACGUUGGAUUGUUUGAUCGUGGACAGGAAGAAGAGGAAUCUUGGAUUCGUCGGAGAUGAUAUCGGAGGAGGUAUCUGCAGGGCUCAUUUUGUUUUAUUUGUAUGAAAAUAUGGCGAUAGAGGGGAGAUGGAAAAUUUUUAUAUCUGUAAUUUGGAUGGAAGGAAACAAGUGGACAAGUUCUGUUUCUCUUUCUUUAUUAUUAAUAUUGUU